AAAAAAAAUCGAUUUUCCUUUUUUUUUGAGUGGAGGAAAUUUUUGAUCAUAGUAUGGGCCAUCCAGGUGGGCUGUAAAUCAAGCAUCGGCUAAACUCAAGCCCAUGCAAACCCAGUCCAGCCCAUUAGACGUGACAAGCAGCCUAGCCUUUGAGAAAUGAAGACACAAGACCAGCAGCGAAUGCCGCCAGGACGCGCUCUGACGACGGUCCCGGCGUACGGCGCGCUGAUCCACCGCCUCGCAUCCACCGGCAGCGUCGAUGCCGUCGACGCCGCGCUAUCCUCCGCGCGCUCCGCCCUGUCCCCGCCGGACUCCCUCCACCCGCUCUACGUCGCCGCCAUCCGCGCCUUCGCCCGCGCCGGCCGCCUCCAGGCCGCCGCCGACGCCUUCGAGCGGAUGGACCUCUACGCCUGCCCGCCGCAGGCCCCCGCCUACAACGCCAUCAUGGACGCCCUCGUCCACGCGCACCACCACGCCCAGGCGCACAAGGUCUACGUCCGGAUGCUCGCCGCCGGCGUCUCCCCCGACCUCCACACCCACACCGUCCGCCUCCGCUCCUUCUGCCUGACCGCCCGCCCUCACGUCGCGCUCCGCCUCCUCCGAACCUUCCCCGACCGUGGCUUCCAUGCCAGGCCCGUCGCCUACUGCACCGUCGUCAGCGGCCUCUACGCGCACGGCCAUGCCCACGACGCGCGCUGCCUGUUCGACGAAAUGCUGCAGGAGGCUCGGGCGUUCCCUGACCUUGCCACUUUCAACAGGGUCCUGCAUGACCUUUGCAAGAAAGGGGAUAUCUGGGAGGCCGCCGCACUUCUUGCUAAGGUCAUUAAGCGGGGGAUGUUGGUCAACCGGUUCACCUACAAUAUUUGGAUCAGGGGGCUCUGUGAAUGCGGCAGGUUGGCUGAAGCCGUUGCACUUGUGCAAGGGAUGGAAGAGUAUAUCAUUCCAGACGUUGUGACCUACAAUACGCUCGUUCGUGGCCUUUGUAAGGGCUCCAAAGCCUGGGAAGCCGCAGGCUACCUUCGUACGAUGAUGAACCGGGGAUGCAUGCCCGAUGAUUUCACCUACAACACCAUCAUUGACGGCUACUGCAAGAUGGGCCUGAUGCAAGAAGCUACUGAGCUCUUGAAAGACGCCGUCUUUAAAGGUUUUGUACCAGACAGGGUCACAUAUUGCUCCUUGAUCAACGGGCUGUGUGCUGAGGGUGAUGUCGAGAGAGCGCUGGAGCUGUUUAAUGAGGCACAGGCAAAAGAACUGAAGCCCGAUCUUGUCGUGUACAACUCUCUUAUCAAGGGGCUCUGUCGCCAGGGGCUGAUCUUGCAGGCCUUGCAGGUCAUGAAUGAGAUGUCUGAGGACGGCUGCCAUCCUGACAUUUGGACAUACAACAUCGUUAUCAACGGGCUAUGCAAAAUGGGGAAUAUUUCGGAUGCCACAGUUGUCAUGAACGAUGCCAUCUUGAAAGGAUACCUUCCUGACGUCUUCACCUUCAAUACGUUGAUUGAUGGGUACUGCAAGAGGUUGAAGCUGGACAGUGCUCUUCAGCUUGUUGAAAGGAUGUGGACGUACGGCAUCACCCCUGAUGCUAUCACGUACAAUUCGGUUCUUAAUGGUCUCUGCAAGGCUGGGAAGACCAAUGAAGUCAACGAAACAUUCAGAGAGAUGACCCUUAAAGGAUGCCGCCCAAACACUAUUACCUACAACAUACUGAUAGAGAAUUUCUGCAAGUCCAAUAAACUGGAAGAUGCCUCUGGGGUUAUAGUGAGGAUGAGUCAAGAAGGACUAACUCCUGAUGCAGUCAGUUUCAACACACUUAUUCAUGGAUUCUGUAGGAAUGGUGAGCUUGAGGGAGCGUACGUACUGUUUCAGAAAUUGGAGGAAAGAGGGUACUCCGCAACAGCUGAUACAUUUAAUAUCCUAAUUGGUGCAUAUUGCAGUAAGCUGGAUAUGCAAAUGGCCGAAAAUAUUUUUGCUGAAAUGGUCAAGAAGGGCCACAGACCUGAUUCAUAUACUUAUCGUGUCCUAAUUGAUGGAUCAUGCAAGGCUGCAAGUGUUGACUGCGCAUACGAGCAUCUCGUGGAAAUGAUAAACAAGGGUUUCGUUCCAUCGAUGGCAACUUUUGGCCGCGUGCUAAAUACACUAACAGUGAACCAUCGGAUUUUGGAGGCUGUUGGUGUUAUUCGUAUCAUGGUGAGAAUUGGAGUUGUUCCUGAGGUUGUAGAUACCAUCUUCAGUGCUGACAAGAAGAAAAUAGCGGCACCAAAGAUACUUGUUGAGGACUUGAUGAAGAAGGGUCACAUUAGUUACCCUACUUAUGAAGUACUGCACGAAGGAGUGAGAGAUAACAAAUUGAAUAGAAAACAUCGACAGACAAAAUAUAUUUAAGAUGGUUGCCUCAUGGCAUCAGUCAUUCACAAACAUUAAGCCAGCAUAGCUUUGAUGCAGUCAAUCGCAAGGAGUGGUUGUUCGAAAACACACACAAGAAGUGCUUAUAGCAUCAGGUCCUCAAAAUAUUGGCUGGAAGCAACUUUGUUACAUCAUGGCUAUGUUAUCAUAUUCUGCUCAGAAUAUGGAGAGCAUUUGUUCCUAGAUGCAGGAAUACAAAGGUCUGUCGUAGUUCUCUAUGCUUCACUCUCCUUGUAUUUAGAGUCCUCUGUAGUAAGUUUCAAGGUGCUUCGCAUUAAGAGAUGGAGAACCACACUACUGUAAACUGGUGUAAUGUGCUUUGUCUAUUUACCGACAAGAACUGUGUUUUCCCUGCAACUGGAAAUGGUUUCAAUCUGCCAACCCUCCUCCAAAGAACACAUGACAUAUGGAAACAAAAAUGUUCAACAGUCUGCCGAAAUGGCCCUAAGAAGCAUCUAUAAUGGGUUUUCAAGGAAAUGGCAGCUCCACAGUAGUUCUAUCAUAAUGGGUCUCCUUGAAAGUUAUGAAUUACCCUGGUUUAUAUUUGAUUUCCAGAUAACUAUAUUCACACAGUGAAGCGCUGAUGAUUAACAAAGAAGGACAGCCAGUGGCUGGAAGGAUCUUUCCCUUAAAAAUUAAGUGGAGUUGAUAAGAGGCCUCUCAUGUCCGCCUAAAAAAAUUCAAAGGCACCUGCUUGCUUGGCAUCACCUCUCAUCUCUCGCCGUUUGCUGACUUCUGCAGAUUCAUCAUACUCCACACCAGACUGUCAAGCAGAAAACCUCACGCUCUUGCAUUAAGGUCUGCAGGAGCUGCUGUCAAGAUGUUGCCGCUUGAACAUAAGCCUGAGCACUGAAUUUUCUGGAUGUCAGUGACCUGCAGAACCUUCAAAAUAUCUGCCUUCCUUGGUAGCAAUUCUUGUGCUUCUUGCUUUUAAUCUCUCAGGGUGCUUCAGAGGGCAGGCUUGCACUGCAAGUGAGUGGGUGAGUGAGGAAGAGUUAUGGGAGUUGUGCUUCUGGAUUUCUUGGGCCAAUUGAUCAAACAACGAGCUUGUUUGCGGUGGAAGCAAGCAGGUCGAGCGUCUUAUCGUUGCAGCUAGCCCCUUCGUAUUUUCUGAAAUCUCGCUCGUGGUCCGCCACCUCUCUUAGCCUGUGUUUGUGCAUGAGAUUUGAGCUAUAGGC